CACGGGCUAGGGACGGCAAGGUGAGCGGGUGCAUUGGGUGGCCCAUGCACUCAGGGCCACCCAAUGGACAUGUGCCAUGAGGGGCCCGGUAGUGCGCUGCAGCGCUUUAAUAGCACGACCAGGCCCCUUCUAACCUGACCGGGGAGGAAGUGAGUGCAAGCUGCACACUUCCUGCCAGCUGUAACCAAGCUGCGCGGGAGGGGGUCACAAACGGGGGCGGACAGGACCGGGACCUUAACUCCCAACAGCCUCAGCCACAGAAGCCAUCCAAAAGGUAUAUGUAUU